rnacentral:rRNA from 1 species
UACGUAGGGGUGCAAGCGUUAUCCGGAAUUAUUGGGCGUAAAGAGCUCGUAGGCGGUUUGUCGCGUCUGCUGUGAAAACCGGAGGCUCAACCUCCGGCCUGCAGUGGGUACGGGCAAACUAGAGUGCGGUAGGGGGAGAUUGGAAUUCCUGGUGUAGCGGUGGAAUGCGCAGAUAUCAGGAGGAACACCGAUGGCGAAGGCAGAUCUCUGGGCCGUAACUGACGCUGAGGAGCGAAAGCGUGGGGAGCGAACAGG